AGGCCCCACAGCUAGAACCCCAAAUCGCCUAGUCCCAACCCAUGCACUCUCUAAUCGGCGCCACACGACGGGCCUUCCCCACAGCCUCAUCUGCUUGGGGACGUAAAGGGCUCUGUGGGGGAGCUGCAGCUUUCGUGCCCAUCUGUUAAAGGCCAGAACUUCCCAUCUCUGAAAUGCGGGAGGGAACAGAGCUCAAGCUUGAAUAACUGAGCGCGGCCCGGCAGUCCCCCCAAAUGAAGAUUCACCAGAGAAUAAGCCUGAUGGAAGUCUGGAGAUAACAGGACUCCCAACCAGCAGGUCCUCCUGAUUCUCAGGCCUUCAGACACAGACUGGAAUCUAAAGCAUUGGCUCUCGGGCUAUCCACCCUUCAGACUACAUGACCAGCUUUCCUGGGUCUCCAGUUUGCAAUCAACCUACCCUGGGACUUUUCAGCCUCCAUAAUUGCCUGAGCCAAUACUUUAUAAUAAAUAUAUAUCUUCUUAUUGGUGCUGUUUCUCUAGAGAACCCUGACUAACAUAGGCACCAAACAUCCAUUUUAAUAAUCCACUUGUCUUUAGAUCACAGCAAUAUCUACUCAAUAGGUACAGACUCCAUUGAUUUCUGGCCACAGGAGGGCAGAAGAGUCAAUAGGUUAUUCUUUGGCCUUCCUCUCAGGAGAGGGAGAUAUCAAAGAAAUUCAGAGUGAUCUGUAUGGCUCUAUCUGCUCUUUGGGAUCAUUUAUUUCUACAGGCUGUUCACUUUUAAGGUACCAAUAGCUGUCAAAAACCCUCCUUUGCCAUCAUAAAAUCCCAAAACUAGGGUUGAAAUAUUGGCAAAGAGAGUGUAUGUUUAAGAAAUUGUUUCUGAUAUGGAUGACCCUGCUUUUAUAUAUCCCAAGUCAUAUACAAAGAACUGAUUUUCAAGAUGUGACAACAUUUAGGUCUCACUUAUAAGUGAAGCUCUCCUUAGGACCAUACUGUAUGGAUUAACACUUUAUUAUUAGAAGGAGAAAUGGUAGCAGUGAGAAUUUCUUCAUAUUUGUAAUUUUUUCCAUUUUUAAUUUCAACCACACAUAUUAAAUGUAACUUUAAUCAGAGUUAAAACCAUGUCACAUGAUGAUCUUAAUUUACAAGUCAACAAAACUAUAAAUAUGAAGAAAUAUUUGCAAUAACAGAUUAAAAGCAAUUAAUUUCUUUGAAAGUCAAUGAAAAAAAAUUUUUUUUCUUUUUUGGAGAUGGAAUCUCACUCUGUUGCCCAGGCUGGAGUGCAGUGGUGCAAUCUCAGCUCACUGCAACCUCCACCUCCCGGGUUCAAGCGAUUCUCCUGCCUCAGCCUCCUGAGUAGCUGGGAUUACAGGCACACACCACCAUGCCUGACUAAUUUUUUGUAUUUUUAGUAGAGACGGGGUUUCACCGUGUUAGCCAGGAUGGUCUCCAUCUCCUGACCUCGUGAUCCACCCACCUCAGCCUCCUAAAGUGCUGGGAUUACAGGCAUGAGCUACCACACCCAGCCCCAAUGAACAAUUUAGAAGGUGAUUUUUAUUACCUCAAAGCUGAAAGUUAUAAGCUCUGAGUAUUACAAUUUUUUGUGGCCAUCUACUUUAAGAGAGAGAAAUGUCUACAAAAUGAUAGGAGCUUUUUUUCCUCUACCUACAGUUGUAUACUGAGCAAACCAGGAAUUUCUGAACAUUAAAACUAUGCUAUGUUGGAAAGGGAGCCAAAAAGCUCAAUAUCUACUAGAGAUGUACAAACUUUCUUUAACAGAAGUCACCUGCUUAUCAGUUUUUGAUAAAUAACCCACUGGCAGUAACAAUAGGAGAAAAACAAUGUAUUUUGCCUAAUGUUCUAUCAUGUGGACAUGGUGUCCCACUUCAACGACUUGUUUAUCUGAGUUAGACCUCUCAUUUGAAAUCAUGGGUGCCAUAUUUGAACUGUUAAUUGCUUCUUCAUAUCUUGGGACUGGAACUAUCCCAAGGACUCCUAUAAGAGUCCUAUCUUAUAGGAGACUUCUCCCUGCUUACAAAUCCUCUGAAGAGCAUAAGUAAAUGUGUCGGCCAGAAAUAAUGGAAGAAACCAUCAACAAAUGGGGGGAAAUCAGAGUCAUGGUGUCACUUUGACUUUUGCCAUUGCCUGCUGUAUUCCAGCUUCUGAUUCCACUGCAAAUGGAAGCAAAGAAAGCUCAUAUAGUAAUAACAGCAAAUAAGGCAACAGUAGUUUUACAUUGAUAAGCUAGAGAUUUUGAAAGUAAGAGGCUGGCACAUAAACUAGAUUAGUAGUUCUCAGCUAGGCUACACAUCAGAAUCAUCUGUGGGGUUUUUAUAGCUGCAGAUGCUAAAUCAGAAUCCAAGACAGGAAAGUGAAAGUGCUUAUUCCAAUGAAGACCUUUGCUGAUAGUCACCAUACUAGAUUAUCUACAAAGCUGGAAAACCUGGUCUAAUUUAACACUUUCUAAUUGAUGAAGGUGAACAGAGUGUGGUAUAAUGAACUGAGUACUGAAUCAGGGAAUAGGUCUAAUUUUACUCUGUGAACAGACUUGUUGAAUAAUUUUAGCUUAUUACAUGUAUCACAUGUUAGGCACAGUAUUAUAUGUGUAUAUCAAUAAUUCUUUCAGUUCACAAUGCUUUGUGAUACAAAGGUUUUUCUUGCUCCUUUUUUACAGAUGUGAAACCUGAAAUUAGUGAUUUGCCAAAGGAAAUGAUGAGCUAUGAUCCCAGGUCUGUCUAACCUAUACUUGUCUCCAAAGGGUAGGACAGUGUUUCCAUUCUCUCCAUAGCGAGAUUCAGCCUCUUUAAUACCUCUUUUAGCAAAAUAUUACAAUAAACUCUUCUCCAAUGAACAAUGAGCAAUGUCUCCUUGAGCAAACUUUCUUGGAUGAAUUGAGAUGAGGCAACUGAAGAAGGCAUUGAAAACUAUAAUAUUCCUUAGAAAUUAAGAUUUCUUCUCAUCUUGAAUAAUGGCUCUUACAUCAUCCUAAAGUAUAAAAUACUUUUUUUCUGAAAAUACUUGUUUCUUCAUUUUAUUACCUUACUUCAACAUUUUCCAUUAUUACAUAAUGUUUAUUUCAAAAAUUGUCUCAAAAAUUUUCCGACAUAAGCCACCACAAUUUUUCCUCAGUAGAAGUGUAAUAUAAAUAAAUUGAAAUCAAGUUUUCUCUUCAUUAUAAAAAUAUUCCCCAAAAUUGCAUGGUAACUCAAUUUUUAAUCAAAUUUGUUGUUGAAUUUUGGAAAAGCUUUUUUAAAGUCUUAAAGUUCAAUUAGUUUUUCAAAGAGCCCUAGUAUAGCACAAAAACAUCAUUACUCUUAUGAAAACUAUAUUUUUAUUUCCCUACUAAUUUGCCCUGGCAGACUCGGGGGUCAAGGACCUGGUGUUGCAAAAUUCCAGUAGUUACCAUGUCCAGAAGAUAUACUGUAAACUGUGCUUCCAGAAGUUGGGUCAUACAAUGGUACAAAUGGAAACUUUGAUUUAUUAUUUUGUUGCUUCUUGUUAACUAAUUUUAGAAGACUGAGAGAAUGGGGGUGUCCAUGCUUUAGAUCCUUCAAAGAAAGGAUUAAUGAAAAUUUGUUGUUGCUUUUUGGUAAAAAUUACUCAUUGAGCUAACAGCUAAAAAAUUGAAUUUCAAUAUUACCAUAAAUUUGAAGACAAAAUGUUUCCUUGUGGAGGAGGAGUUUGGGCAAAGUAUAAAUAAGUAAUUAAAAUUGUGCUCAACUAAAGAGUUUAUUGUGGAGGGAAAAGUGAUCUCUUGUUCAUAAGUGGAAAUUAAAUGUUUUUAUAGAGUGGUGCAGUUAUUGCGACAGUGCAAAUUAUAUUAAUAGCUAAUAGAGAAUUCAAAUAAAAUGUUUCUAAAUUA